rnacentral:rRNA from 1 species
AGUGAACGCUGGCGGCGUGCCUAAUACAUGCCAGUCGAACGAAGUGGCGCACGGGUGAGUAAUAUAUAGUUAAUCUGCCCUACACAGAGGAACAACAGUUGGAAACGGCUGCUAAUACCUCAUAGUGUAGGAUGAGACUAUAUCGUAUCAGCUAGUUGGUAAGGUAAUGGCUUACCAAGGCUAUGACGCGGAACUGGUCUGAGAGGAUGAUCAGACACAUUGGAAGUGAGAAACGGUCGAAAAUACUACGGGAGGCAGGAGUAAGGAAGAGUGCGCAAAGGGGGAAACCCGGACGCAGCAACGCCGCGUGGAGGAUGACGCUUUUCGGGGCGUAAAGUCCUUUUAUCAGGAAAGCGGUACCUGAUGAGUAAGCACCGGCUAACUCCGUGCCAGCAGCCGCGGUAAUUC